CAGCGUGUCCCCACCAGACUGUGGGCUCAGCUGGUGUUUGGUGUGAGCCCCGGCCCCAGGAGGGGCUCCUGUGUGUUUGCUGAGUGACGAGCCAGUGAGUGACUUGAAUUCCCAUUCUGUCCUGUGGCUGUGGGGCAGGGCGUCUGCACUGGGGUUGGGUCUGGCAGGCACCGUCCUUGCCAGGCUUGGGUGCUGGGUCAUUGUCCUCCCUGGGGCUGGAGUGGUGGACACAUCACCUGUCCCAGGCUGGUGGUGGGAGUCUAGUCUGAGCCUCCAGACCUGGGGAUGCGGGGACAGCAGGGAGGGAUCACCUGCCCCUGGCAGGGCUCACCCAGGGAGGGCCAAUGUUGAUCCCCACGGAGGUCUACACCAGGACAGAGGUCCCAGAGAAGGUCCCUACUCCCUCCCCUUACAAGAGUGCAGCUGCCUGAGCGUGGAGCCACUGCUUGGGGUCAAAGGGCAGGGCCAUGGCUCUGCACUGGGCCAAUCCGGCCACUGCACAGUAAGUCUCCAGGGUCACGGAUGCCAAGGGGACUGAAAAGACAUGGUUACAUCAGCUUCUCUCUUGACCACCAAGAAUGUGAAAUUCUCUAUGAUUUUACACGGCAGGAAAGGAAGCCAUCUUCUUGUAAAGACUUGGCUUUCCUCCCAAGAAGGCACUUCUUGGUCAUGUGUGCUCUGUGGCUGCAAACGAACACGGCGACUUUCAGCCACAGGGCACCCUGGGCUUGGCUUUGGCUUCCCCUCCUUUUUCCUGUGUGACCUUACUGUAUGCUGAAGGCCCCCCAGCCCCAUCUCUACAAACCUCAGACCUCUCUGGGUUCAGUUCCAUGCACCUGGCUGCCUACAGGUGGCCCAACCUGGGGACCUGGGCGUCCGUCAGGCUGCUCAGCUUGACACACCAGAUGGUCAACUGCUCAUCUCCCCAGCUCUCCCGACACUGGCCUGUGGACCUGCUCUCCUCCCUGUGACCUCUGAUGCCCGUGACCUCUGAUGCCCGUGACACCUCACCUCCUUGGGUCCUGGUGCUUGCCUUUCCGUCCUGGUCCUGCCCAUCCUCUGCCCAUCCCCCGGAGGUGUCAGAGCUGCAAGGAGACCUGGGCAUCACUUGAACCAAUUUCCUGAUUUAUAGAUGAGAAAGCCCAGGGCGCAGGAGAGGACGUGACCAGUCUGAGGUCACAAGACAAGCGGCGGAGUCAGGCGUAGGACCCAGGUCUCCUACCUGCCAAGGUGGGGAUGUCCUCUCUCCUCCAGCCCCAUCCUUUCUGAUGAGGGCCACCGAGACACAUCCUACUGUUCUCCUUCCUUCAGCUGGUUUGGAGCCAGGCCCAAGACCCUAGGACGCUCAUCCAUGAUCCGGCAGCCCGAUGCGGGCCCCUGCUGUCCAGGAUUUGUCAAGAGUGGCAGCACAGAGUCCUCCCUGGCCUGGUGAGGCCACUAGACAUGUCCCUUCACCCCAGACCACAUGCCCCUAACCCCUGUGCUUGGACAGAGAGAGCCCAAGCACCGGGGGCAGGAGACCUGAGGUGUCCAUGAGAUGGGAAGUCCCAAAGAGCCUGCCCCUUCCUGCGAGGCUGAGGGCCGGCAUGUGGCCAGCCAGAGCCUGCCCACAGGGCAGCUGGGCUCUAUGUGAAAGGCCGGAUCGGAGAGGAGAUGCCAGCCAGGGAUCCAUCCUGAAACAAAACACAGUCACUCCGGGGUUAGUUGGCAAGUCCAAACACGGCAUUGGGAAGCAGAGGUCCUGUCCUCCCUCUGAGCACAGUCCCGGCUCAGCGUCUGCCCCGGAGAGGCUGCAAGGCAAGAGGAGCAGCGGCGUUAAUCUGCUGAGGGCUGAGAGAAACGUGAGCGUUACCCUGGGCUGGCCCCUUGGCUGCUCUCCCUUACUACGGAGCUGGAAGGUGGCCCCUGACUUCUUUGCAAAGGUAUGAAGCAGACAAAUUAAAAAAUCAACAUAAUGGAGGAAAAAAAAAAAGAUGCUCAUGCAC
rnacentral:lncRNA from 1 species